AAUAAGUGCAGCCAUGAGUUUUCACACCCAACUUUGAUUGUCCGUCUUAUUUGAAAUUUUUUUAUAAUUAGCAUUUUUGUUGUUAUGAGAUGAUAAAAUAUGAAUAUUACUUUAUUCGUGACUUAUGUUUUUAAAUUUUUUUUAAAAAAUUUUAAAUAAGACGAACAGUGAAAGUUGGGCGCGGAAAACCAAUGCUGCACUUAUU
rfam:Oryza sativa (indica cultivar-group) chromosome 12, whole genome shotgun sequence.